rnacentral:rRNA from 1 species
AUGAAUCCGAAAUCCCCCAAAAGAGGAGAUGAAGCUUCUUAUAGGGCUUAUGUCAAUGGAGGGUCCAUCAACUUCAUCGUGACUGAUGAUCUUCGUAUCGUCGAUUUCUCCCUGGCCAAGAGUCUCCAAGCCAUACAUGCAGCCAAGAUUCCCAAGGGCGAGCUUGUGGAGAAAGAGAUAACACUUGACAAAACCCAGGUUUUGAAGCUACUAAGAGCUUCACUGGAUACUCGCAAUGCCCUAAGCAGUGUGCUCUUGCCUCCAAUUCCAAAGAAGAGUGUCACCACCAGCGCCGCGACGACGUCAACUCCAGCCGCCAUGGCAUCAGUACCUCCCCAGCCGAGAAGGAGCCCGCGGCUCCGAAAGCCCAUUCAGCCAUCAGAGUGA